rnacentral:rRNA from 1 species
CCAAUAGCGUAUAUUAAAGUUGUUGCAGUUAAAAAGCUCGUAGUUGAAUUUCGGGGUUAGUAGGUUGGUCGUGCCACUGGUAUGUACUGGCUUUACUGAUUCCUCCUUCUUGAAGAACUGUAAUGUCAUUUAUUUGGUGUUGCAGGGAAACAGGACUGUUACUUUGAAAAAAUUAGAGUGUUUAAAGCAGGCUAACGCUUGAAUACAUUAGCAUGGAAUAAUGAAAUAGGACGUUUGACCCUAUUUUGUUGGUUUCUAGGAUCGACGUAAUGAUUAAUAGGGAUAGUUGGGGGCAUUAGUAUUCAAUUGUCAGAGGUGAAAUUCUUGGAUUUAUUGAAGACUAACUACUGCGAAAGCAUUUGCCAAGGAUGUUUUCAUUAAUCAAGAACGAAAGUUAGGGGAUCGAAGACGAUCAGAUACCGUCGUAGUCUUAACCAUAAACUAUGCCGACUAGGGAUCGGAUGAUGUUAAUUUUUUAAUGACUCAUUCGGCGCCUUACG